rnacentral:tRNA from 1 species
GGGCCCGUGGUCUAGCGGUUAUGACGUCUGCUUCACAGGUAGAAGGUCCCCGGUUCGAAUCCGGGCGGGCCCA